CAGCAGCCGCGGGAAUACGAAGGGUGCAAGCGUUAAUCGGAAUUACUGGGCGUAAAGCGUGCGUAGGCGGUGAGUUAAGUCUGCUGUGAAAUCCCCGGGCUCAACCUGGGAAUGGCAGUGGAUACUGGCUCGCUAGAGUGUGUCAGAGGAUGGUGGAAUUCCCGGUGUAGCGGUGAAAUGCGUAGAGAUCGGGAGGAACAUCAGUGGCGAAGGCGGCCAUCCGGGACAACACUGACGCUGAGGCACGAAAGCGUGGGGAGCAAACAGGAUUAGAUACCCCAGUAGUCCCUGUCUCUUAUAA
rnacentral:rRNA from 1 species